GAUGAACGCUGGCGGCGUGCUUAACACAUGCAAGUCGAACGGAAAGGCUCCUGCUUGCCGGGGUUCUCGAGUGGCGAACGGGUGAGUAACACGUGGGUGAUACGCCCUGCACUUCGGGAUAAGCCUGGGAAACUCGGUCUAAUACCGGAUAGGACGUUUGUUUGGAUGCCAUUGAGGAAAGUAUUUGCGGUGUGGGAUGAGUUCGCGGCCUAUCGGCUUGUCGGUGGGGUAAUGGCCGACCAAGGCGUCGACGGGUAGCCGGCCUGGGAGGGUGGACAGCGACAUUAGGACUGAGGUACGGAGCAGACUCCAACGGGAGGCAGCAGUGGAGAGUAUUGCGCAGUGAGCGCGAGCCAGAUGCGGCGGCGCCGCGUGGGGGAUAACGGCCUUCGGGUUAUGAACACCUGUCGCUGGAGACAAAGCGCUAGUGACGGUACCUGGAGAGAAAGCACCGGCUAACUACGUG
rnacentral:rRNA from 1 species